UGUGUGUGUGUGGUCCCUGUGUGUUCUUUCACUGUAAGAAACCUGGCUCCCCAAAAUACCACAUUUACUUAUUUGUUCAAUUCUAUAAUAUAUCUAAUGUAAUUUUAGAACUACUCCACUAUGAUCUUUAGUGACAAUUUUUAUUAGUAAGAAUACUUUUAUUCUUUUUUUUAAUAUUUAUUAAUUUUUGGGAGGGUGCAAGUUGGGGAGGGGCAGACAAAGGAAGACAGAGGAUCCAAAGCCAGCUCCGUGCUGACAAGCUGGCAGCAGCAAGCCCAAUAUGGGGCUUGAACCCAUGAACUGUGAGAUCAUGACCUGAGCCAAAGUCAUAUGUUCAACCCACUGAGUCUCCCAGGUGCCUCAAGAAUACUAUCAUUCUUAAAGAAUAUUUUCUGAUAAAAUAUAGCUUCACCAGCUUUCAUCCUUUUUUUCUCACCCUUUUAGUGUCUUUAUGUUUCAGCUUUGACUACCAUAAACAGCCUGCGAAUUUUGUUACCUACUAUGAUAGUUUACUGUGAACUUUUUUUUUUUUUUAGCUCAUUUACAUUAUUAAAAUUACUGAGUCUGGGCCUAUUUCUAACAUCUUAUAUGGUGCUUAUGGUGCUUCCUAUUUGUUCUUCUUUUUCUUUUCCUCCACUUUCCCCGUGUCUCACUUUCAUUGAAUUGAUAAGUUUUUGGCUCUUUCUGUUUGGAAGUUAUAUACACUGUUUUUGCUUGUUUUUUAAAGGUUGCUAGUCAAAUUUUGAUAUGCAUAUAUUGCUUAGUAAUGCUUAAUAUUAAUUAAUAACUAUAUGAGAAUUUUAGAACACUUAAGUCUAAUCACCAGCUUCUUAUUCUACAUGUUAUUGCUAGCAAGUAUUUUAUUUCUGCCCUGUCUUUUACUGUUUCCUCCUAUCCAUUAAGACUCAUAUCUCUAAGUUUAUGAAAAUUGCAAAUAUUUCCUGUGAUUUGUUACUUGCAACCACACAAACUUUUAAAGGAUUAAAGAGUCGCUUUUCCAACUUCAUGUUGGGUGUCUCUACUAAGAUUUCACUCCCUCAACACUAUGUAAUAACCAGAAAUUGAUAUUAUUAUUUUUAUUUUUAGGCAUACAGAAUUGCUUCUGCAUAAUGAAAUUAUACUCAGAGGAAAAAGAUUGCAUGUUCGUAUUUUAGCUAUAAGGAUAGAUAGCAACUAUAUGUCUGAGAACUUUUCCUCUUAUUCUGAAUUUCAGAGAUUAUCUCAUUAGAAUUUCAACUCCACCAAAUAGAGAUAAUGUUGUAAACUAAGUAAUUUAUUGAGAGCUUGCUGUGAAGGAGUUUAUCAGUAUUCUGUGGAAAGGCAUAAGGUGAAAUCUGCUUCUAGCAAGUGAACUCUAGAAAGUCACGCUGGGAAAGAUCAUGGAGAAAAGAAAGCCUGUACUAGAAACUUGUGAGACUUGAGCUGUUAUAAACCAAGGUACUUGGCACCAGAGGUGAACUCUGAGGACAAGGUUCAAAAUGGUGAUGAGCAGCAAAUGGUUAACAUAACCUCAUUCUGCCCUGAUGUCCAGGGCUUAUAACACUUGUAUUAUUCUUCCAUUAGCUUUAUGGGUCCCAUUUUGGCUAUGAGCCAAGACAUUGAGGAAGUGUCAGUGUGAGCCUUCAAGGCUGCAAUGGGAAGGCAAAGAGGAACAUAUAUGAAUGAGCUGGAUCCAUCAUCUGUGAGCAGAGAAGAUUAGGGGGCACAGUCUGGCCCAGCAAAAGAUAUUUCUAGGCGCCAGUAUUUCAGUGCAAUAAUCUUAAGUGUUAGAUUCAGAGGGUCAGUCCAGGCUCAAGCUGUCAGGUGUAGGCAAGAAAUCCAGGAGCUCAGGUGUUGGUGAAAACAAAGUACAGAUGGUCUCAUAAAUAGCGAUAAUUUGCUUUCCUUUGCCUUUUUUUUUUUGAACACCUACUGCAUACCAAGCAAUUCAUAUACAUUAUCUCUAAUGUUCCCAAGGAUCUUGAAAAAUUGGAGUAUUUUCAAUCCCCAUUUUACAUGAAGAAACUCAGAUUAAAAGGUAUUAAGAGACUUGACCAUUUUACAUCUAUACAUCAGUAAAACUAGGGUCUAAAUACUAGUUUAUUUCACUCUGGAGUCUGAUUUUUCCACUACCCCUAGCAUCUCUCAGUGAAAUGAACUCAUUGUUUUCAACUGGGUCUUGACAGUUCCAACCAUAGGUUAGACUGAAAAAUAUGCAUUUUUCUUACUUUAAAAUAUAUCUUGGAUAGAUUUUCUUAUUCUGCACUCUUUUCACAUCCUAUUCCUCAAGUUGUUUUUAUUAUGCAUAGAUCUGGAGGCAACUAAUAGACAUUUAAAAAGUCAGGUCAAAAAAUAAGAUAGCUGAGAGCCAAUAUGUGGAAAGAUUACUAUAUUCAAUUAAAAAAAGUUUAUAGUACAUGUGAUAAAUGGGUACUUUCCACAAGAUGCCCUAGGAAUAGGUUUAUGAUUUUGAUUUGGGGAAAAUUGUUUACUUAAUAAGACCUGUGGUCUUAUUUAAUGGAAACGAGUACUGGAAGAUUGUCACAGGUCUUAUGUAGAUUUGUACUAUUUGCCAGAGAUAGUAAAUAAGAUUGUCACUGCAGCUGAUUAAUUUUCAGGACAAAAUUUGCAUCUCCUCUCUUCAGGGAUAUUGUUGCCAUGGUGAUAUUGUGACAUCAAGCUUUGUGCAGAGGGUUGCUGCCUCUUACCUGUAGACUUUGGCUUGCACUGUGUAGGAAGAAUUUCUGGACCACUUGGAGAAAUUUAUAUACAAAUUUAACAUAUAUAAUAUGUCAAAGCCAAGGCAAGGGUAGAGAAAUGUCUAUUAAGAUGCUGACCCAGUGACUGUCAUAAUACCUCUAUUUUGAUGUCCAUUUUAAUAUUCUGAAGAUAAGUGAGAACAUUAAACUAUAUAUUUUCAUUUGCAUAAAUUUAAGCUUCCAGUAAAGUGUUUUUCUUUUACACUCUGAAAAUGUAGUCUCGUUUGUAAAAGAAUUGGAAUCAUUGAACACUGGAAAGAAUAUUGACUUUAGGGUGGGGAAAUAGAAAUUAAAGUCCAAUAUUACUUUUUACUAUGUGACUUUGAAUUUAAUCCCCCUGAAUUUGUUUUGCUUAUUUAUAAAGUGUUGAGGAGAUAAAAAAAAACAAACAAACAUUUUCCAGGUAUAAAGUACUCUGUUUCAUUUUUUCUGCCUUAAUAUUUCUAUUCUAGAGAAAUGGAUUGGGUCAGUUAUUUGGUCAAUAUAUCAGACUUUUUAGGAUGGACUCUUUUUUUUUUUUUGCUAUGUUUGCUUGUAUUUUACUGAUUUUUUUUUUUACAAUAGAUAAUGAAACAAUAAGACUAAUGAUAUUGUUCACAGAGGGACCAAUGGAUGAGAAGAGGAAACCUGAUCUCAAUGUUAUACGCCUAUGGAAAAAGAAGAUUCCAUAAAGUAGAAUGUAAAUAAAGGCAAAAUAUAUAGUCUUAGAGUCAAGAGAGUAAAUGAAAAUUUAUAGGAAUUAGUUAAGAGACUGCACAUUUAAAUACAACAAAGAAGCCCAACAAAGAAGAGCUGAAAAGUUUCCCUUGGGAUCAGCAUUUAGGAAGUUAGUAAUUAGAGCAAUUCCCUGAGAUCUGUUGAGAGGCUGUAUUUCAGUGAAAUGAGAAAUGGGUGGAUAUCAAAAAAUGGGAGUUGAAAGCGGAGAUCACUCAUUGAAGAAUCAUGGAUAAAAAGAGAAGGAGAGAAAUCUGAUGGCCUCAGGAGUAGUACAUAGGAUCAGGGAGAAUUUAAAAUCUUUUCAAAAUAGAAGACCCUGAGUAUGUUGAUAGACUCAGAAGAAGCAGCCUGUUUCAAGCUGUGAUAUAUAAAAGGGGGAAUUAAAAAGGUGGCUCCGGCUGAGGGAAAAAAUCAAUGAACACAAGAGCUUUGAACGGGAAAGACAUCACCUCUGAAAUCAGAAGAAAGAAGGCAGAAGUGUGUGUCAGUGUGCACUAGUGUGUUGACUGGGAAUCAGAAAGAUGAGUGAGGCCACUACUGAUAAUUUAAAUUUUCUUUGUGAAGUAGAAGGCAAGGUUAUAUGUGAGACAGGGAAAUUUGGCCAUUGUAAAAGAAAAACAACUGGCCUUUUGUUAAAGGUGGAAAGAUUGAUUUUAUUCAGGCUAUUGCAGUAGGAUAGAGACUUCAGUGUAAACUGAGCUCAUAUCUGCUAAAACAGAUUUUUAAGUGUUGGGGUAUACUAAAGGAAAAGUACUGAAAGGUAUUGGUCGGGGUUGGAGAGGUUUAUCUAUGUGACUAGGCCAGCUGUGUUUGCUAAUUGGUACUUAAUCAAAGUUAAGCUCCUACCCUCACACAGGUAUUGGGAGACACAGAUGGACGCUAUCUUCUUGAUUACAUUUCAAAAGGAUGGCUCCCAGGUCUUCAAGAAAGACAUUCCUGGGUUAUAGAAGAUACAUCUCAAAGGUAUAGAGGAAAGGUUUACAGCUGCAAGUUUUUUAAAGCAAAUGUUCCAGAAAAAGGAGAUCGGGAUCCUAUAGUCAGAUUUUGGCUAGAACAAACAGCAAUUUCUUUUGGGAGCAUUGGGCUUUCUUGGGCAUUUUAAGGAGACUGGGAUCAUCAUUGUAGGGACAUGGGCUUGAACUGAUAGAAGUCCUGCUAGAGUUUUGCCAAUAAGGAAUUCCGAGAAGAGUGUUUGUCACCAUAUUAGUGUUUGACCUUUUCAAGAUCAUACUGAUUUGGAUCAUUCAGGUGUGAAACCACAAGAUGAGGCAGUGAGCCUGAUAUAUAAAGUUUAAGCAAUUUCAGAGAAAGCUCUUUAAACUGAUCAUAUAAAAACUGAUGCCAGAAUGUUCAGUUUAGAGCAAUAUGGAAAACUCAGACAAAUAGGUUAAAGAGUACACAACUACAAAACCAACAUGAAAGAAGGGGCUAUGGAUCAGAGCUAGAAGACAGGCGCAGUGACUGUGUAUGUGAGCUAGCUCUAGAAAAUCUAAUCUCAUAGGGUAGGGCCCAACUAUAGCGCUGAGGGUUGUGAAUAGUACUGAUGGAAAGAUCUAAGCAGAGCCGUUGUCUUAGCCUACAGAAACUUAUUUGAGUAUAGUUUUGGACCAUGAUGUUAGGACCAAAGAAAGUUCCCAAGGAACUUGGUAUACCUGGACCCAAAGUAAAAAAAGAACAACUAGCUGAAGAGACCUCAUGUGAAAAAUUUUAAUUUCUUAACUUUCCAGUGACCAAGUUCAAGAUUAAUUCUAUAAUUUGGAACAGAAUUGGAUUUGCAGGAUUUUAACUUUUAGCAGUUAUGAAUUUGUGUCAAGAACUAUGGAAAAUGUCAACUGACCCUGCCUAGCAAAAAGAGAAAGAUCAUGGAGCAAGAACUAGGCAAGAUAUCUCAUUGGCUCAUAUUCUACAUUUUCUCCUGGAGGAAGGUAUAGAGAAAUUGACUUAAAGGCAGGGACCAUUCAAUGGUACAAAUGGCAAAGAUGAAAUAAUAUGGUUAAACAUGAACCAUGUGGUGAAGUAGAUAUGUUUUCUUCACCUACUCGGUAAGUACCUCUUUUGCAUUCCUAACCCAUGUAGUUUGAGUGAAUCUGAAUGAACCUCCAGUGAAAGAGGUAAACAUAUAACCAAAGUUGGGCCAAUCAAAGCACUUCAUAAGGUUAAAGUGAUUGAUUGAGGCUGGGCACAUGACAUUUCAUUUGUCAUAUUAAUGUUCAUAAAAUUAUUUAUAAUUUGUCACUCUUUUGGUGUCUGGACAGUCUCUAGUGAUGUUCUCUCAUUUCAUGCCUGAUGGUAAUUUGUGUUGUCUCUCCCAAUAUCCUUCUGUCUGUCUGUCUGUCUCUCUCUGUCUGUCUCUUUGUCUCUCUCCCCUCCCCUCCCUUUCUCUCUCCUGCUUUGCUCCUCAUUGCUUUUCUUUUUUUUAAGUUUAUUUAUUUAUUUUGAGAGGGAGAGAGAGAAAGAGAAAGAGAGAGAAUCACAAGUACACUCCACGCUGUCAGUAUAGAGACCAACACAGGGCUCAGGCUCACAAACCAUGAGAUCAUGACCUGAGCCGAAAUCAAGAGUCACGUGCUUAACCUACUGAGCCACCCAGGCACCUCUCCCCUCAUUCCUUUUUCUUGAUCAGUCUAGUUAGAGGUUUUUCACUAUGUUUUGGAUUGAUUUUCUCUAUUUAUCUCUAGUUUCUAUCUCACUGGUUUCUGUUCAUUUUUUUUUCAUUCUAAUUACCUUGGGUUUAAUUUGUUCUUCUUUUACUAGCUUCUUCAAGUAGAAGCUUAGAUUAUUUUUAGUCCAUAACGAUGCCCCUGCCCACCAAAUUAUAUUAUAUUGGGCUUUUAUUUUCAUUUGUUUAAAAUAUUUUCUUCUGGUACUCCUUUGUGAUUGAGUGGAAACCAGGUUAUCUGCUUUUUUGAGCAAUUAUUAGUAAAAUAGAGAAAAGAGUAUUAUAUAUCUGAGUAAAUUGUGAGAAAACUUAUUGGAACUUUAAAAGGCACUCUUAGUAACUGAUAUGCCCACAACCCAGUGGUUUAGCAUAUAAGGGAAAGGUAAGAAUAUUUGACUCAGAUGCACACACAUACCCAAGCACAUCCAGGCUCAUGAACCUUGAUUUCUGCUUAUAUGCCGUGAUUUGGCCUAUGCCUCCAGCUCCCUCAGAUAUGUGUAUUUGAUAGAAGCUGCUUGCCUGAAGUCAUUUUCAGAGAAUAUAUUCCUCAUCAUGGUCAUGCGGCAGAGGAUAUUUGAAUUACAGCAACUUAAGGUUUUAUUAGUCCAAGUAAUUUUGAAUUUUAGAUGGGAGACUUUAAACUGAGAAACACCUUUGAAUCCCAAAUGAAUUACUUUGAUGUUGGUUUUAUAGUUACUGUCAUGGGCAGUGUUAAGAGGAAUUUGAGCUAAUCUGCAUUAAAAAAUGAGCUAUUUCUAUCUUACUUGCUUAAGGGUCAAAAAAGACAGGAAACAAUAAAGAAGAGGGGAAAAGGAAGCUAGAAUGGAAAAUAAAAUAGCAUGCUGGGAGGCUGGAGCCCAGGGUAUAGGUUUUUAAAAUCCAGGAAGUGGUGAUGAGGAGGAGAAGGAAGGAAGAGGGAAAGAUAAGGAAGGAGGAGGUAUUUGAGAAAGAAGACUCCCUAAUACUGAAUGUUAAGUUAUUUGUGUUUCUGUGAUGUAAGCACUUCCAAUACCUCAAAUCUUGAGGAGAGAGACACAAAAGCAAAUGAGUUCUGUACAUUUUGCAGAAUUAAGGGGGAAUGUUGGUUUCCACAUCUGCACUGGCACCGGGCAGAAUAGAAAUAGCCUGCAAGAGAUGGAAACUGAGCUAAAAUUAGGAGUAGAAGCUCGGAAUCGGAUUUGGGAAUGUAAACUCCUGGGAAUUUUCAGAAAUCUGAGAGAAGACAUUAAACUUUUCAAACGCUAUGGAAGACAUAUCUAGCAAAAUAUUAUUGUAGAUUUAUUGAGCAGAAUGACCCUAAGUGACCCUGUGUUAACCUCAGGCCCUGUGCUGCCAGACACCAAUAGCAUUCUGUCACUGAGCAUCUAUUAUUAACCUACCGCUCCUGGCAAUGGCAGUCUGCUGGGGAAAAGCUAUGCAGAGACAUAGUUCCAUUUCUUCCUCAGAUUUUGGCAUAGGAUUAGGAGGAAAAUUAUGUGAAAAAUGAAAUGAUUUCAUGUGACUGUUACAUGAUAAACCAGCUUUCUUGGGUGACAUAUUAUCAGGCUGAAAGUGUGUGGCAUGAACGUUUUCCUCAAAUUGUUUAAAAUAAUGUAUGCAAAGUUAUUUUUAAAACAACUUAGUCACCCAGAAUUUAUUUCAUUCCCAAAGGCAGUUCAUAAAUUAAGAUUUACACUUAACAUGCUGCUUUCUUAAUUUGGAGCAUGUUAAUAUAAGAAAAUGACACAUGUUAUUUUGGGGCUUCUAACUCAGCUCUUGCAGAAAUGCUGUUUUUAUGCUCUAUAUGAAAGUUAUAUAUCAUAUUUUCAUGUUUAAUUUCUUCAUUUUUGAUAUGUACAUCUAUAAUAUUGGUGGUUAUAUAGAAAUGAGACUAGGAAAUAUAUUAUCUAGUAUUCUGUCAAUCCGAACUCUGUUUUAUAGCAUGUUUCCACAGUGAAAAUUGAAGAUAACAAUGUAAAUAAAACAGUAUAAGAUUUUGAUAUGUGGUUUGAAUCAUUUGCCUGAGAAUAUUAUUACAUUAAAUUAUGCUUGAUUUCAUCUUAGUAUUUUGACAUGACUGAUAAAAUCUUCAAUGAUAAAAACAACAGAGUUGUAUGUCAUUCAUUGUCUCAUUUUUUGCCUCAUAAUGAGAUUUGGAAACAGGCUCAGAAAAAUAAUGCUUGUCUGUGGCAUAAUGGCUGAUGCACUGCCUCUUAAAUUCUACAAGUGUAAAUAUGCAUAAAGUUCAUAUUCAUGAUUUAUUUUAAUCUUCAAAAGAAUUGAUACAUUGGUUUGAAUAAAUACCCAGCAGGGUUCCAUCGUAGUUUCAUGACUCAAGCUGUAAUUUAUGCCAUAUAUAUUUUUUAUUUGAGAUUGAAAUAUUAUAAGAAGUUCUUAUAUGCAUUUAGAAAUAUCCAUUGGUAAUUUUGUUUGAUAUUUGAAGUCUGCUGUAUUCAAUAUCAAAAAUUAUUAACUUUGAUUUUUCUUUUCUUUUGUUUGUACUUUGUAAACGAGCACAUACUACUUACAGGGCAAUAACGCUAAUUAUCAUGCAUUCACCAACACCGUUAAUAAACAGAGAAAAACAAAAUAAAAUAAAAAAUAACUCUAGGUAGUCUUUAUAAUAUUUUGAGUUAUUUUAAAAUGUUGAAUAUUUAAACAUUAGUAUGGUUGUGUGGUAUGAAGGCAUUAAUUUGUAUAGUUAUUGAUUGCAUUUGCCAAAAUGAAUUAAUUGUCUUCAAAUUUUUUUUUUCAGAUCAAACACAGUUUAUUACCUUAACUUGCCUCACAAAAUCAAAUUGCAAGCAGGAAUGGAUGGUCUGAGCUGAUUGUUUCCAGAUUUGUAAAUUUCACAGACCAGUGAAAUUAAAAGGAAAACAAAUGAAGAAAUUGGCAUAGGUUUGUUACUAUUUCCUAUUGCCAAUGACUGCGUUAAACAAAACAAAAUGAAAUUAUUUACAAUUAUCAUUAUUUCAUAAAAGAGGAUAUAUAAACAGCUCCCCCCAAAAGGAAAAAAAAACAGGUGGUUAUAAUCUCAUACGGAAGAAGUCUUUGAGAACAGUUUAUAAAACAAAUUCUCUCUCAUAUUUAUUUUUCAUUGUUUAUGCCAUGAAUUCCAACCUCAUGUUCAGAAAACUUUAUCUAAAUGGAUAUCAAGGGAACAUAUUUCUCAGCUAUUACCCAGACACUCUUUUUAUCUUCCUGUCCAGAUUCUUGGCUCCACACCUCAUUCCUGAUCCCUGUUUGUGUUGUCUUCGCAUUGCAUAAUCCUUCUAAUUUCAUACCUGGCUUUGGAGACCUAGGUGUUCUGUAAAGAUUUUGGGCUAUGCACACUCCCUUGGUUUUAUCAUUUCUGCUGAUUUAGGGUGAAAAAUCCCUGUGCUAUCCUCCUGCCCCUUGGAAUUCCCACCCUAGCUGUGAUAGCCUCAGCUUUGAUAAAAAAUUCAGAUAUAUUUUCCCCAACCUAAAUCAAAUUUCAGUUCUGCUAGUUAUAUCAGCACAGUCCAUCUUCUCUUCCUGGAUAUUAAUUAUUCCUUUUCACCAAUGACAUUUAAAAUAAGAACACAUUUUGUUCAGUUGUAUAAUAUAGUUAUCUUAAGCUUUGAAAAUAUGUGGGUUUUUUAAUAAUUAUUAUUUGUUUUUAAUGUUUAUUUAUUUUUGAGAAAGACAGAGAGACAGAGUGCAAGCAGGGGAGGAGCAGAGAGAGAAGGAGAUACACAAUCUGAGGCAGGUUCCAGGCUCUGAGCUAUCAGCACAGAGCCCAGUGCGGGGCUCCAACCCACGAACCGUGAGAUCAUGACCUGAGCUGAAGUUGGACACUUAACCCAGGUACUCCUAUAAUUACUUUUUUAAACACAAUUUACUGAGGUGAGGUCACAUGAUGAUAUGUUUUAAAUGAUAUUUUAUAGAUUGUAGGACCUGAAAUUUUCAAGAUUUCAAAAUAAAAAAAGGGUGUUUUGAGGAUCCUCAAGCAGGUAACCUCAAGGUGAAGGGAGCCAUAGCAAUCAUGUUCCACUAUGCCAUCCAUAAUGCAGAAUAAUGAUGUCUGAAUUAAAUGCUCAUCCAACCUCCAUUUGGACACUCCUAGUCAUGGAGAGUUCAUUGCCAUAUAAGUUAUCUCAUUCUAUCGUAGGACAUCAUCAUGGAAAUUUCUCUCCUAGAAUGACCUAAAAUCUGCAACUCUGUAUCUUUUUUUCUAAUAAUAACCUUUCAAGUAUUUGAAGAUAGUUAUCAACUCCCUCAGGAGUCUUUGCUUCUCUAGGGUAAACAUUAUUAGUCCUUUCAUCUAUUCACUUUUCAUAUGACAUAUUUUUUGGACCUUAAUCUUUUAGACUGAAUUUUCCUAAAUAUAUUGACUAUUUUCACAGUGUUUUUUUUUUUUUUUUAACGUUUAUUUAUUUUUUAGACAGAGAGAAACAGAGCAUGAAUGGGAGAGCGUCAGAGAGAGAGGGAGACACAGAAUCUGAAACAGGCUCCAGGCUCUGAGCGAUCAGCACAGACCCCGAUGCGGGGCUCGAACUCACGGACCGCGAGAUCAUGACCUGAGCCGAAGUCAGAUGCUUAACCGACUGAGCCACCCAGGCGCCCCUACAGUGUUUUUUUUUUUAAUGUUUAUUUAUUUUGGAGAGAGAGAGAGAGGCGGGGGGCAAGGGGUAGAGAGAAGGGAGACCCAGAAUCCAAAGCAGGCUCCAGGCUCUGAGCUGUCAGCCCAGAGCCUGAGGUGGACUUGAACCCACGAACCCAUGACCCAAGCCGAUGUCAGACACUUAACCGACUGAGCCACCCAGGAGCCCCCAUUUUCACAGUGUUUUUAUUCAUGCCAGCUUCUGGCUGGUCACCACAUUCCUGAAAAAAAUUCUACAAAACAGAGCAUGGUUGACUAUUUCUUUUGGAUCAUCUGAACAAAGUACUCCGAUUAAUUAAUACAGCAUAAGACUAGGUUAGAUCCUCAAAGAUGUUCACAUGAAUUUUGUAAUACAAAAAUCCCUAGAUUUAAUCUUUGUGCUAAAAUAGAUUCUUUCUAUCCAGUUUUUGUUUGAAUUUCUGAACCAAAAUGUAGGGCUUCAGAUUUAACUUUGUGAAAAUUAAUGUUGCCAAUACAUUUUAGCACUCUCUGUAAGAUGGAGAUACUUUACAUUAUUUAAAGAAAGAUCACUUUAAAUCUUGUUGUAUUAUAUAAUAUAUGUAUUUCUCCAUCUACUCUUAUUUGCACAUUCAGCUCAGUUAUUUUAAAAUAAAUUUGUGUCAAAGAUAAACAACAAAAUGAAUAUGCUCAGAAACUCUACAGUUGAGACUUCUCAUCAAGUUUAUGCUCUGACAUUAAUUCACAUUAAUUGAAUAUAGUUUUGAAUAUAAGUCCAAUUAAAUAUAUUAUUAUUCAGCCCAUGUUUUAUUCAGAGGUAUGAUUGGAAACUUUAUUGCUUCCUUUCUAAAAGAUAAUAAUAUCUGAAUAGCCAUCUCAAACAUAAAAUGACCCUAUUCAAUAGUUUUAGACAUAUUAGUUUUAUUUUCUGGAAGUUUGUUGGACUUUUUUUUUCCACCAAAAUGUAAAGUCUUUAUAAGAAAUGUGUUAGUUAACACAGAUCCUUUAGAAAGGAGGGCCUGAGGAGCAGUCAAAGUGUUGCUGCCUAAAGAGGUACAAGCAUGUGUGUGUGGUAAGAUAAAGAGAAAAAAGGAACUGAGGCAAGGAACAGAGUGAGUGGAACAGAGCCAGUAGGUUUCUCAGUGGGCAUGUUUGCUUAAUAUUUAGUACUUCCCAGAAGAUUGUAAGGAGUAAUCCCACCUCAGUGCAUGGAAGAGAGUUAAAAGGGGGAAAUAUAUCUGCCUUGGUCUGUGUUAUCUCCUGCUUUGUAUCAGUCAAGAUUCACCCACACUUACUCCCCAUAUCCCACCAGCUCAACUACCUUGUCCUUCCAACUUUGUUCUCCCCUGGUAUAUCUGUGCCUGUCAGUACGUAGUUAGGAGGCAGCAAAUCUCAAACCUGGAAUUAAACCACAUGUAUUAGUCAGCUUAGGUUGCCAUAACAAAAUACCAUAGGCUGGGUAGCCUAAACAACUGAUUUCUAAAAGUUCUGGAGGCUGGAAAGUCCAAGGUCAGAGUGCCAACCUGGUCAGGUGGUGGUGACAGCUCUCCUGCUGGCAUGCAGAUAGCUACCUUCUUGCUGUGUCCUCACAUGGUAGUGGAAGAGACAGAGUCUGAAGUCUCUUCUUCAAAGGGUGCUAAUCUCAUGCUGAAGAUCCCACCCUCAGGGGUUCAAUAUGUGGGGACACAAUUCAUUCUAUAGCACCCUCCCCCUCAAAUUCAUAUCUUUCUUACAUGAAAAAUACAUUCAUUCCAUCUCAACAGCUCCAACACUUUUAGUUCAUUCUAUUAUCAACUCUAAAGUCUGUUAGAGUCCAAAGUCUUAUCUGAGUGUCUUUUAAAGCAGAUAUGGGUGAGAUUCAAGAUUCAACUAAUGCAAAGGCAAAAUUCUAAUCUAACUGUGAACCUGUGAAACCAGACAAGUUAUAUGCUUUCAAAACACAAUGGUAUUCCUAUUCCAAGAGGUAGAAACGGGGAGGAGAAAAGGGGCGACAGGCCCCAAGCAAGUCCAAGACCUAACAAGGCAAAUUAUAUUAGAUCUCAAGGCUGGAGAAAAUCCUCUGGUUGGAUGUUCUGUCAUCUACACCCAGUAGGGUGACAGCAUACCCAUCCCGCCAUCACCACCAUGGCCCUUUGGGGCAGCCCUGUCCCUUUUGGUCAAUAUUGGGCAGAAAACAAUAGAAAUACAACACAUUGCUAAUGUGUAAAUUAAUAUAAUCUUUCCAGAGAACAACUUUGCAAUGCAAACCAAAAGCCAUAAAAUUUUGCAUAUCUUCUGGAGCAGUGACUUCAAGUGUAGCUAUUUAUAGUAAUAAUAUUUCUAUAGUUGCAUAAAAUAUUAUAAUACAAGAAUGUUUAUCACAAUAAUCAUAUUAAAAUGAAACAUGUGGAAACCCCAAAUAUCAACAGAGAUUGAUGUAGUUACUCAGUAGCCUAAUGUGCAGACAAAAAGAAUGACAAUUAACAUCUCACUCAGACUAUUUAAUGUCAUAUAAGAAAUCCAAUGUAUAAUAUAUAAAUGAAGCAGGUUAUCAAACAACAUGUGAAAUUGUGGUAGAUACUGUGUGUGUCACAGCCAUGUACCUUCACCCUCACUAUUUCAGUCUAUGCUUGCUCGACUUCUAAUUGCUGGAUUCUACUUCUGUUUGCCUGAGUUUUCUUUGUCCAGGUGCUUAGCAGGCCAGAAUGCUAAAGAAUAAUGCUCCUGGAUGCGUACUUGCCCAAUAAUUGAUGGAGUUCAUGUACAAAUAGCCCAGUCACACACUCUUUUGCUGAAGUGACUUUGAGAACAGUGCUCCAUACUGACUCCCAGAGUUCCUCAUUGGGAUCAGAUCCAAGAAUCCACAGUGAUGACUUCCCAGCUGGAAUGGAGAUUUCAUGGGCCAUGUGCAUGAAUGAUCUCACUGAUGGCAGAGCAACAAAAUCAAGGGCCUGUGGCCAUCAGUGAGAUGGCUCAGUAGCAAGUUCAGCUUAUGUCUGAAUUUUGAAAAGCGUUCUCUGACUCUUUGAAUCUGUGCUGGCUGAUAACUCCAAGAAGCAGCUCUGGUCAUUUGAAUCAGGCCUGCCUAGACUCUGAAGCUUUUGGAGUGAGGAGAUAACAGGAGGAUGCUGUCCAUUCCAGUCCAUUCCAGCUGGUCCCUGAUAUUGACGUGGGUGCUGUUUUGGCCUCAAUCCUGCCCUCUGCCUGUAUUCACUGAGUGGGAUUUCCCCACCAGAAACCUUUGCAUUCUCUGAGUCAUUUGGACUUGGACUUACUUGUCCAGAAGUUUUAGUUCCUGGAGAACUUGAGAAGGACUCCUUCUCCAGUUGUUGGACUUUAUUCCCCCUGCUGCUGCUCCACACCACCACAGCUUAUUCAGUCACUGGACAGUUCUUGGUGAAGAAUGAUACUCCUUAUUGCAGCGUGCCCCUUCUGCCUUGGCAAAGACCCAGCACAUUCUUCCACCUGAUGGUUUGAUGAAAAACCAAGGUAAUAUCUAAGCCCUUUGUCUUGGGGAAACUAAAUUUUCCUGCUGAGAUGGUAGACCAUACUUGGUUCUGUUUCCAGUUCGAAAUAGUGCCAUAUUUAUCAAACAACACUUUUAAAUAUCAUUUGAGAAAUUUAUGGGAUCUUCACUUUUCUUAUUUGUAAAUGAUGUAGUAUUUAAUAUAUCCAAAUGAAUUUAUACAAAUAAAUGCACAUUAUAAAGCAUAAUAAUUUGGAAUACAAAUAUAAUGGGAAAUCUCAUUUUAAUUUUUAUCCAUAUGAACUGUCCUGUUGCAAUGUAUAAAUGCAAGAAUAUAUCUUCAUGUAAAUAUUUUCAAUAAAAAAUGAG